rnacentral:rRNA from 1 species
UACGUAGGCGGAAAAUUAAGUCAGUAGUGAAAUCCCGCAGCUUGACUGUGGAACUGUUAUUGAUACUGGUUUUCUUGAAUUUAGUUGAGGUAGGCGGAAUGUGUAAUGUAGCGGUGAAAUGCUUAGAUAUUACACAGAACACCGAUUGCGAAGGCAGCUUACUAAGCUAUGAUUGACGCUGAGGUACGAAAGCGUGGGGAGCGAACAGGAUUAGAUACCCUGGUAGUCC